GACGAACCGUCCAAACGUUAUUCGGUAUCACUGGGCUUAAAGCGUGCGUAGGCGGCCUGGUAGGUGAGGUGUGAAAGCCCACGGCUCAACCGUGGAACAGCGCUUCAAACCACCAGGCUUGAGGAUGGCAGGGGUGAUGGGAACUGAUGGUGGAGCGGUGAAAUGCGUUGAUAUCAUCAGGAACACCGGUGGCGAAAGCGCAUCACUGGGCCAUUUCUGACGCUGAGGCACGAAAGCUAGGGUAGCGAACGGGAUUAGAAACCCGUGUAGUCC
rnacentral:rRNA from 1 species